CUGACCGAUAGUGAACCAGUACCGUGAGGGAAAGGCGAAAAGAACCCCGGCGAGGGGAGUGAAAAAGAACCUGAAACCGUGUACGUACAAGCAGUGGGAGCACCCUUUGGGGUGUGACUGCGUACCUUUUGUAUAAUGGGUCAGCGACUUAUAUUCUGUAGCAAGGUUAACCGAAUAGGGGAGCCGGAGGGAAACCGAGUCUUAACCGGGCGUUAAGUUGCAGGGUAUAGACCCGAAACCCGGUGAUCUAGCCAUGGGCAGGUUGAAGGUUGGGUAACACUAACUGGAGGACCGAACCGACUAAUGUUGAAAAAUUAGCGGAUGACCUGUGGCUGGGGGUGAAAGGCCAAUCAAACCGGGAGAUAGCUGGUUCUCCCCGAAAGCUAUUUAGGUAGCGCCUCGUGAAUUCAUCUCCGGGGGUAGAGCACUGUUUCGGCUAGGGGGCCAUCCCGGCUUACCAACCCGAUGCAAACUGCGAAUACCGGAGAAUGUUAUCACGGGAGACACACGGCGGGUGCUAACGUCCGUCGUGAAGAGGGAAACAACCCAGACCGCCAGCUAAGGUCCCAAAGUCAUGGUUAAGUGGGAAACGAUGUGGGAAGGCCCAGACAGCCAGGAUGUUGGCUUAGAAGCAGCCAUCAUUUAAAGAAAGCGUAAUAGCUCACUGGUCGAGUCGGCCUGCGCGGAAGAUGUAACGGGGCUAAACCAU
rnacentral:rRNA from 1 species